rnacentral:rRNA from 1 species
AAAGCCGGGGAUCUUCGCGAUUUGCUGCGGCUGAUGAGCCUCCUUAGGAUUAGCUAGUUGGUGGGGUAAAGGCCUACCAGGGCGACGAUCUGUAGCGGGUCUGAGAGGAUGAUCCGCCACACUGGGACUGAGACACGGCCCAGACUCCUACGGGAGGCAGCAGUGGGGAAUAUUGGACAAUGGGGGGAACCCUGAUCCAGCCAUGCCGCGUGUGUGAAGAAGGCCUUUUGGUUGUAAAGCACUUUAAGCGAGGAGGAGGCUACCGAGAUUAAUACUCUUGGAUAGUGGACGUUACUCGCAGAAUAAGCACCGGCUGACGGUGUGCCAGCAGCCGCGGUAAUACAGAGGGUGCAAGCGUUAAUCGGAUUUACUGGGCGUAAAGCGCGCGUAGGUGGCCAAUUAAGUCAAAUGUGAAAUCCCCGAGCUUAACUUGGGAAUUGCAUUCGAUACUGGUUGGCUAGAGUAUGGGAGAGGAUGGUAGAAUUCCAGGGUGUAGCGGUGAAAUGCGUAGAGAUCUGGAGGAAUACCGAUGGCGAAGGCAGCCAUCUGGCCUAAUACUGACACUGAGGUGCGAAAGCAUGGGGAGCAAACAGGAUUAGAUACCCUGGUAGUCCAUGCCGUAAACGAUGUCUACUAGCCGUUGGGGCCUUUGAGGCUUUAGUGGCGCAGCUUACGCGAUAAGUAGACCGCCUGGGGAGUACGGUCGCAGACUAAAACUCAAUGAAUUGGACGGGGGCCCGCCACAGCGGUGAGCAUGUGGUUUAAUUCGAUGCAACCCGAAAAACCUUACCUGGUCUUGACAUAGUAGAACCUUUCCAGGAGGAUGGUUGGUGCCUUCGGGAAACUUAACAUACAGGUGCUGCAUGGCCUGUCCGUCAGCUCAGUGUCGUGAGAAUGUUGGUUAAGGUCCCGCAACGAGCGCACCUUUUUUCUUUAUUUGCAGCGGUUAAGCCGGAACUUGAGGAACUGCCAGUGACAAACUGGGAGAAGGCGGGACGACACUCCAAGUCUAUCAUGGGCUUGACAUCAGCUUCAACACAGUGCUACAAUGUGCGGAGUACACAGAGGGGUGUCG